UAUCACCAACCGGAAGGAAAAGAUUUCCUCUCCCUUUAUUUAUAAG
rnacentral:rRNA from 1 species